UGGGUUUGACAUCCCAGGAAUCCUGAAGAGAUGCGGGAGUGCCUUCGGGAACCUGGAGACAGGUGCUGCAUGGCUGUCGUCAGCUCGUGUCGUGAGAUGUUGGGUUAAGUCCCGCAACGAGCGCAACCCUUGCCCUUAGUUGCCAGCAUUCAGUUGGGAACUCUAAGGGGACCGCCGGUGACAAACCGGAGGAAGGUGGGGAUGACGUGUCGUUACCUUA
rnacentral:misc_RNA from 1 species